UACGUAGGGUGCAAGCGUUGUCCGGAAUUAUUGGGCGUAAAGAGCUCGUAGGCGGUUUGUCGCGUCGAAUGUGAAAACCCGGGGCUCAACCCCGGGCCUGCAUUCGAUACGGGCAGACUAGAGUUCGGUAGGGGAGUCUGGAAUUCCUGGUGUAGCGGUGAAAUGCGCAGAUAUCAGGAGGAACACCGGUGGCGAAGGCGGGACUCUGGGCC
rnacentral:rRNA from 1 species